AACGAACGCUGGCGGCAGGCUUAACACAUGCAAGUCGAACGCAUCCUUCGGGGUGAGUGGCAGACGGGUGAGUAACGCGUGGGAACGUGCCCUUCAGUUCGGGAUAACCCAGGGAAACUUGGGCUAAUACCGGAUACGUGCGAGAGCAGAAAGAUUUAUCGCUGAAGGAUCGGCCCGCGUCUGAUUAGCUAGUUGGUGGGGUAAUGGCCCACCAAGGCGACGAUCAGUAGCUGGUCUGAGAGGAUGAUCAGCCACAUUGGGACUGAGACACGGCCCAAUCUCCUACGGGAGGCAGCAGUGGGGAAUAUUAGACAAUGGGCGCAAGCCUGAUCCAGCCAUGCCGCGUAAGUGAUGAAGGCCUUAGGGUUGUAAAGCUCUUUCGUCCGGGACGAUAAUGACGGUACCGGAAGAAGAAGCCCCGGCUAACUUCGUGCCAGCCGCCGCGGUAA
rnacentral:rRNA from 1 species